rnacentral:tRNA from 1 species
GUUAAUGAAGUAGAGAGGAAGUUAUAUCUGAUUUGCAAUCAGUGGAUAUGGUAACA